GUCAGGAUAGAUCAGUU
rnacentral:tRNA from 1 species